rnacentral:rRNA from 1 species
UACGUAGGGUCCGAGCGUUGUUCGGAAUUACUGGGCGUAAAGGGCGCGUAGGCGGCCUGCUAAGUCGAACGUGAAAUCCCCGGGCUCAACCCGGGAACUGCGUCCGAUACUGGUAGGCUUGAAUUCGGGAGAGGGAUGCGGAAUUCCAGGUGUAGCGGUGAAAUGCGCAGAUAUCAGGAGGAACACCGGUGGCGAAGGCGCCACUCUGGGCCGAAACUGACGCUGAGGAGCGAAAGCGUGGGUAGCAAACAGG